rnacentral:RNase_P_RNA from 1 species
GGAGUCAGCCAGACAGUCGCCGCUCGCUUGCGAGGGGAGGAAAGUCCGGGCUCCAUAGGGUAGGGUGCCAGAUAACGUCUGGGCGGCGAAAGCCGACGGCAAGUGCAGCAGAGAGGAGACCGCCUUAGGCUUCGGCCUUCGGUAAGGGUGAAAGGGUGCGGUAAGAGCGCACCGCAACACUGGUAACAGUUGUUGGCGAGGUAAACCCCACCUGGAGCAAGACCAAAUAGGAUUCCGUUCGGCGUGACCCGCGCUGGAAUCGGGUAGGUUGCUUGACUGUACGAGUGAUUGUGCAGCUAGAUGAAUGACUGUCCACGACAGAACCCGGCUUACCGGCUGACUCCCCCA